GAUGAACGCUGGCGGCGUGCUUAACACAUGCAAGUCGAACGAUGAAGCCCAGCUUGCUGGGUGGAUUAGUGGCGAACGGGUGAGUAACACGUGAGUAACCUGCCCUUAACUCUGGGAUAAGCCUGGGAAACUGGGUCUAAUACCGGAUAGGAGCGUCCACCGCAUGGUGGGUGUUGGAAAGAUUUAUCGGGUUUGGAUGGACUCGCGGCCUAUCAGCUUUUUGGUGUGGUAAUGGCUAACCAAAGCGACAACGCUUAGCCGGCUUGAGAGGGUUACCGGCCACACAGGGAUUCAUACGCGACCGCGACUACUCAGGGAGUCUGUGGUGGGGAAUAUUGUGCUAUGGAUGCAAGCCUUAUGCAGCGACGCCGCGUGGUGGAUGACGGCCUUCGGGUUGUAAACCUCUUUCAGUAGGGAAGAAGCGAAAGUGAUGGUUCCUGUAGAAGACACACCGGCGGACAACGUG
rnacentral:rRNA from 1 species